rnacentral:rRNA from 1 species
UCCGUUGGUGAACCAGCGGAGGGAUCAUUACAGAGUUGCAAAACUCCCUAAACCAUCGUGAACGCUACCUAAACCGUUGCUUCGGCGGGCGGCGCCCUCGCGCGCCCCCCUGGGGCCCGCACCGCGGGCGCCCGCCGGAGGUACACCAAACUCUUGAUAUGUUAUGGCCACUCUGAGUCUCCUGUACUGAAUAAGUCAAAACUUUCAACAACGGAUCUCUUGGUUCUGGCAUCGAUGAAGAACGCAGCGAAAUGCGAUAAGUAAUGUGAAUUGCAGAAUUCAGUGAAUCAUCGAAUCUUUGAACGCACAUUGCGCCCGCCAGCAUCCUGGCGGGCAUGCCUGUUCGAGCGUCAUUUCAACCCAUCAAGCCCACGGCUUGUGUUGGGGACCUGCGGCUGCCCGCAGGCCCUGAAAACCAGUGGCGGGCUCGCUAGUCACACCGGGCGUAGUAGCAUACGACCUCGCUCAGGGCGUGCUGCGGGUUCCAGCCGUAAAACGACCUUCAGAACCCAAGGUUGACCUCGGAUCAGGWAGGAGGACCCGCUGAACUUAAG